AUGUAACCUACCUUAUCCAGGGGGAUAGCCUCUCGAAAGAGAGAUUAAGACCGCAUAACAUUAUUGAAUAGCAUUAUUUAAUAAUCAAAUAUUUAUAGGGAUAAGAUGGGCAUGCGGGACAUUAGCUAGUUGGCGGGGUAACGGCCCACCAAGGCGACGAUGUCUAGGGGAUCUGAGAGGAUGACCCCCCACACUGGUACUGAGACACGGACCAGACUCCUACGGGAGGCAGCAGUAAGGAAUAUUGGUCAAUGGGCGGAAGCCUGAACCAGCCAUGCCGCGUGCAGGAAGACGGCCCUACGGGUUGUAAACUGCUUUUGCAGGGGAAUAAACCUUGAUACGUGUAUCAAGCUGAAUGUACUCUGAGAAUAAGGAUCGGCUAACUCCGUGCCAGCAGCCGCGGUAAUACGGAGGAUCCGAGCGUUAUCCGGAUUUAUUGGGUUUAAAGGGUGCGUAGGCGGCCUAUUAAGUCAGGGGUGAAAGACGGUAGCUUAACUAUCGCAGUGCCUUUGAUACUGAUGGGCUUGAAUGGACUAGAGGUAGGCGGAAUGUGACAAGUAGCGGUGAAAUGCAUAGAUAUGUCACAGAACACCAAUUGCGAAGGCAGCUUACUAUGGUUAAUUGA
rnacentral:rRNA from 1 species